GCUACAUACACGAGUAAAGAAUACUAUAGCAAAAUCGAGAGAUUAGAUACACAAUCAGACCUGGGAGAUCCCACGGCUCAGUUUUGUAGAUGUCGACAACAGCUAUAGGGUCACACCGAGAGGGUUUAUUGGUAACCUUCCGUUUGAGGUAGUAGCGAACAAGUUCCUCAUCAGUGGGGUGGAAUCGGAAUCCAGGAGCUAGUGAAGCCGCAGAAUCACCACGUGCCAUCUACCAAGUCAAUACCAAAACCAAAAGCAAAAGAAUUCUUUCGUUUUAAGUUAAGAGGAUGACAGGUUGAAAAUGAAAGAGAGGAAUCGAAAAUGGCAAUUUAAAAGCACGUGAGAUAAAAUUAGGGUUCGGCUUUUGGUAAUUAGGGCUUUCAAUCGGAGUCUGCAGAUUGAAUUGAAGAGAGAGACGCC
rnacentral:misc_RNA from 1 species